rnacentral:lncRNA from 1 species
CAGACACUAACAGUUCUAGUCACCAUGGGGAAGAGGCGCAAUGGUCAUCCCUUCCUAGGAGAGCGUUUCAGAGAUCAUGCUGUGCGGCGGGUGUUUGAUGUCUCACCAUCCCCUCAGACCAGUGCGGUUGGGCUACCAGCAUCUGCCCGCAAGGUGAUCACUAGUUUCAGGCUUAAGUAAGCAUUACUUCAGCACUGCCUGUGGGUUCCACGGCAGGCCAGGCAUUUUCACACAGUGUUUCAUGAUAUCCCACAAUCCUCAUUAUCUCCCAAUGAACCAGGUCCUGCUCAACACAGUCUGGGGCUCCCCGCUCCCCCUCUGCAGCUGCUCCAUCUGCCAGGGACUUGACUCAGCCUGCUCCUCUUUCAAUAUUCAAGACAGAAAUGCCAGGUGUGGCAAUCUUGUCGGUCCUUCGAGUGUCAGCCAAAUGCCCCUUCCUCCAGGAAGCCUGCCAAACUUCUCCCUCCCUGUCACGUAUGCCUGUGCUUGCAUCCUGGCCAGGCCCUUGUCACCCUUGUUGCUGUGGAGUUAUUUGUACACCUGACUUUGCCCCCUGGAGCUCCCCAGGGCACCAAUGCUGAGUCUUUCAUUCCCUGGCGACACCCCCUUCCCCUCAGGCACUUGCUGAGUGAAUAGGCGAGCACGGUUGUGGUCUGGCUGACACCUUCCUCGACACCCAAGACAAGGAAUAAAGGGUUAGAGUCUUCAAAGUGAUCCCUUUAGCCUGCAGGGAGACCGCAGCAGGGUGUACACUGGAUGAAAUUACGUAAAACACGAAGAGAGCACGGGGCACAGGAGUGCUUCUCAAGAAAGGGGCUCUGGGGCAGGAGCAGAAGCCCGUGGCAGGGACGAGGGCUGUGGGCCACUGAAAUGCUCCCUGCCAGCCCCAGUGCCCGCAGACGGCCCCUCCAGCCUGGGGGAAGCUCUGCCUGCCUCCUCAGGCCGCCCGCAAACUGCUCGUGGCCCAGGGACCUCAGGGUUGCCUCCAGUGGACACACUUCGUGUCUUGCUAGAGCCCCGUUUCUAAGGGAGAGGCAGCCGACAGCUUGCUGGGAGAUUUCUAAGAAGAAAGCUGGUGGGGUGGCUACUGCUUUCUAGAUUACUCAGUGUGUGACUGGAAACACACUGGUCGCUUUGCACGGUCACAGCCGGCACAGCCUGUAGUCACAGAAUGUUCUGGGCUCACCCUCUUCUCUGGCCUGGGGAAGUGAGGCUCAGCGUAGAGGCUGUACCCACAGGCACAUGACGGUCUGCACCCAGGCCAGGGCUCAGUGAGGAGCCGGAGUGUCCCGGCCUGCCUGGACUCCAGCCGGGACCUCCCACAUGAGGCUCAUUCAUCUAUGCCCAGGAUUCUCAAAGAACCCCGGCCCCAGCCUGCUCUCUGUCAUGUGCUGAGCCCCAAGCUUACCCAUGCCUCCUGCCGUGGGGACCAGAGAAUGAGAAGACCACCAGGGAGACCCGCCCUGGAGACCAUGGUGUGCUGCUGACUCACGAGAAUGACAUCACCAAGUGUGCCCUCUGUCCUGUCACUUGGAGCUCCUGGAAGCACAGAAUGUCCCUCAGCCUGGACACUGCCCCUGGCCUGGGGAGGUAGAUGCUCCCCACCUCCCCUCCUGCCCUAGUGCAGAGGAAAGAAGAUCAAAUCUGGAGUCAGCAGACAUAGGAGUCUAAUCCCUGGUUCUGAUAUAUCUAGGCAGUCAUUGCCUUAGCCACACUCAGCCUUAAUCUCCUGAUCUGCAAAAUGGGGAGAACCACACUAACUUUGCAGUUUGCGGUGAGAGUCAAGGAAACCCACGUGAGAAGUGUCUGGCACUGUGCCUCGCAUGUACUGUGUUUGUCGGCCCCUCGGGCCUCAUGUUGUUGCUCUGGCACCCCAGGGGCUCAGGUGGAGCCACGGCCAGGACAGGCCUCACCAUUGGCAAGGGCACUCAAGCUCCCAGGUGGACUCCCAACCUAUCCAGGCACUACAGCCAAGGGUAAGAGCCCUGGACUGGGGCCGACCUGCUUCCAAUGACCCACCGUCCAACCUCGCCUUACCUUAUCCGUAGGAGCCAUUUGACAAGCUCUUGUUGAACAAAUGCUACACAUGAACACAUGGGCUGUGUCCUGAAGCUGGAUGUGCAGUCUUGAAGGAAUCCUACGCUUCAUGAAUGAGGAUUUGACAUCUGGCAGAGGUCUUUAUGAACACAUUUAUGAUCAUCCUUCAAAGCAACCACAUGAAAUGGGCCAGGGGCUUGUUCUCUUUUAGCAGACAGACGGGUUGAGUCACCACAAGAUGCUGUUAUGGUUUAAA